UGUGUGUCUCUCCCUCUCAAAUACAGGGUGUCUCCUGGAAAGCAGAGUGGGCUCCUCUCUUCCUGACCCAUGUAGGUGAUUCAUCAGUGCUUGGUGAACAGCUUUAUCUGCUCCCUGACAGCCUCUGAGAAGUCUGUGGAACAGUUUUCAGCGUCUUUGGCAUGGAAGCCUAGCAUGGGAGUCCUACACGGCACAGUGGCUUCACUGCUGUGCUUUGAAAUCUUGGUUCUGGUUGCUGCAGAGUAAAAAGCUGAGCACAGGAACCAGAGGGAAGUUUGCCAGCCUUCUGAACUCAACUUGUCCUUUCUGGGUGUGUUUUAUUUCUUAUCCAACGUAAGUCUAAGAAGGUGAGAUUUUUGUGGCAACAUAAUGAUGGCUAGCCAGUAAGAGAAGAUGAUUUCCUAAAAGAUUCCUACUGUUUUCUUAGCAGGUGGAAACGUGUUUGCUGCAGAGGCUGUGUGCGGUCAUUGUCCUUUCUGGGUUUAUUUCUGUUUUUGAGACAGGAAACAAAACAUCCAGAGGAAACAAUUGCCUUAGGCUGGACAAAUCUGCAUCCACUCCUGACCGGGCUUUCCUUUCUGGUCACACCUGUUGUAUUUCACCUUUUCAUAACGAGAUGGUAAGCAACCUCAAUUUCAGGCCAAGACACAUUGGAAUGCCAAAGUUCAAGUGCGAGUGCAAGAACAGAGCAAUAUUCAUCAUUCCAUUAGCUACUGGAGGACCACCUUGACAGUCCAGUGUUAAGAAUCCACUUUGCCAUGCAGAGGAUGCGAGUCUGAUCCCUGGUCGGGCACAUAAGAUCCUACAUGCCACGGGGCAGCCAAGAUCCCCGGUACCACAACUGAGACCCAAUGCAGCCAAAUAAAUAAGUAAAUUAUUUAAAAGGUAUUAGCUGCUGGAUGUUGGAAAAGGAAAUGGCAACCCACUCCAGUGUUCUUACCUGGAGAACCCCAGGGACGGCGGAGCAUGGUGGGCUGCCGUCGUGGGGUCGCACAGAUUCGGACACAACUGAAGUGACUUAGCAGCAGCAGCAGCAGCAGCUGCUGGAUGCGGGUAAAACCACAAGCUGAAGCAAGAGCACACCUCUAGCGGG
ensembl:lncRNA